GGGCUGGUGUCGUUGUAGGUAAAACUUGAGUAGUUGUAGCUUGACUUGGAGCUUGUAACAUCUUGCUUGCUGGCAUGGUCAUAUUAUCCUUCCUCUCUUGAAAAUGAGUCGUCCUCGACUCGUCCAAUCCAAGGAAAGGAGAUAAAUCGGCGACAUUGAAGCUUGUACUCACACCAUACAUACUUGGGAGAUCAAUUUCAUAUGCAUU
rnacentral:lncRNA from 1 species